rnacentral:rRNA from 1 species
AUGAACGCUAGCGACAGGCUUAACACAUGCAAGUCGAGGGGCAGCACGGUGUAGCAAUACACUGGUGGCGACCGGCGCACGGGUGAGUAACACGUGUGCAACCAACCCCGUACCGGGAGAUAACCCGCGGAAACGUGGACUAACAUCCCAUAAGACUCUAGGGCCGCAUGGCUCUGGAUUUAAAAUUCCGGUGGUACGGGACGGGCACGCGCGACAUUAGGUAGUUGGCGGGGUAAGGGCCCACCAAGCCGACGAUGUCUAGGGGUUCUGAGAGGAAGGUCCCCCACACUGGAACUGAGACACGGUCCAGACUCCUACGGGAGGCAGCAGUGAGGAAUAUUGGUCAAUGGGCGAGAGCCUGAACCAGCCAAGUCGCGUGAGGGAAGAAUGGUCUAUGGCCUGUAAACCUCUUUUGCCAGGGAAGAAUAAAAGGUACGUGUACCUUCUUGCCAGUACCUGACGAAUAAGCAUCGGCUAACUCCGUGCCAGCAGCCGCGGUAAUACGGGGGAUGCGAGCGUUAUCCGGAUUUAUUGGGUUUAAAGGGCGCGUAGGCGGGACGCCAAGUCAGCGGUAAAAGACUGCAGCUAAACUGUAGCACGCCGUUGAAACUGGCGACCUGGAGACGAGACGAGGGAGGCGGAACAAGUGAAGUAGCGGUGAAAUGCUUAGAUAUCACUUGGAACCCCGAUAGCGAAGGCAGCUUCCCAGGCUCGAUCUGACGCUGAUGCGCGAGAGCGUGGGUAGCGAACAGGAUUAGAUACCCUGGUAGUCCACGCCGUAAACGAUGCUCACUGGAUCUUGGCGAUACACUGCCAGGGUUCAAGCGAAAGUAUUAAGUGAGCCACCUGGGGAGUACGUCGGCAACGAUGAAACUCAAAGGAAUUGACGGGGGCCCGCACAAGCGGUGGAGCAUGUGGUUUAAUUCGAAGCAACGCGAAGAACCUUACCAGGUCUUGACAUCGAUCUAAAAGGGAUGGAGACAUCCUCAUAGCUAUAGAGAAGACAGGUGGUGCAUGGUUGUCGUCAGCUCGUGCCGUGAGGUGUCGGGUUAAGUCCCAUAACGAGCGCAACCCCUAUCGCCAGUUGCCAGCGGCUGAGGCCGGGCACUCUGUCGAGACUGCCACCGUAAGGUGCGAGGAAGGCGGGGAUGACGUCAAAUCAGCACGGCCCUUACACCCGGGGCGACACACGUGUUACAAUGGCCGGUACAGAGGGCAGCCACGGGGUGACCCGGAGCGAAUCUCUAAAGCCGGUCGUAGUUCGGACUGGAGUCUGCAACCCGACUCCACGAAGUUGGAUUCGCUAGUAAUCGCGCAUCAGCCAUGGCGCGGUGAAUACGUUCCCGGGCCUUGUACACACCGCCCGUCACACCAUGAGAGUUGGCAACACCCGAAGCCGGCGGCCCAACCCGCAAGGGAGGGAGCUGUCUAAGGUGGGGCUGAUGAUUGGGGUG